GUCUACGGCCAUGCCACCCCGAAUAUGUCCAAUCUCGUCUGAUCUCAGAAGCUAAGCAGGGUCGGGCCCGGUUAGUACUUGGAUGGGAGACCACCUGGGAAGACCAGGUGCUGUAGGCA
rnacentral:rRNA from 1 species